AAAGAAAAAGAGGUUCAAGGGAGUUAGAGCUUUCAAGAGGAGAAAUCAAGUGCAUUCAAGCUUUUCCAUCUGAUUUCGUGCUCAACUACUCACUCCCACUCGGCAUUCAAAGCUCACAUUCAAGCCAACGCGAUCCACAUCGGAAGAACCACCAUUACCCACGCUUCCAACGGCUAAAAAGGUUCUUCCGGGUUUUAUUAUUUCUCAUUGUUAUAUUCGCUUUAUUAAGAGCUUUUAAAUCUUUGUAAAACCUUUGUUUAUUGUGCUUGUUCCAGUCAAAGGACUUGGAACAAGGGAUAGGCGUCCCAAGCCUAGGUUAAAUUGGGGGAUUGUAGGGUUCGUUGUUAGCCCGGGGUAAAACAACGUGUUGGGUAGUGAACUCGCAAAACUACUGUACUGUAAUCGCUGAUUAUAGUGGAAAUUCCCAAAGGUGUUUGGGGAGUGGAUGUAGGAGCAGUGGAAGCUCCGAACCACUAUAAAUCUUUGUGUGUUUGCGUU
rnacentral:lncRNA from 1 species